GCCCAGCGGACUGCAGCUGUACUUUACAGCAUUUCCCUCGCUCUAACUCCCGCGAGACGUGCGGCCGUUAGAGCGUUGCCAUGGGUUACAUAGUUACAUAGCUGAAAAGAGACCACGUCUCGUGGGAGUUAGAGAGAGGGAAAUGCUGUAAAGUACAGCUGCAGUGCGCUGG